rnacentral:sRNA from 1 species
GAUGUGAUAAUACUGACUAAGACAGUCCACAGGCCAUCCGGAAAAUCUGGAAACAUUGACAAAUAUGCAUGUCAUUGUCAAGGUCAUCUCCAAUCUGUGAAAAAUAAAUCAUCUGCAUUUCUAGACAUCUAUUAAUAUUUUAAUUCUCCCCAGCUUUCCCCAAAACAUCCUUUUUAGCUGCUUUUAAAAAAUUCAGGGUCCAUUGAAAGCACCAGUGUUGCCUAUGACCUGCCUUUCUACCUCUUUUUACCUAGAAAGUCUCACUUCUUUUUUGGGAGACUCUUUUAUGACAGUGACAUUGUGCUGUGUCCAGGCCAGUUCUUUUAUAAAAUGUUCUACGAUCUGGAUUCGUGCAUGUAUUUCCACAUGAUGCUGAGUGUUUUAAGAUAAUUCAAGAAUCAGGUUUUCAUAUGAAACAAUCGCAAUGCUUCGGCACUGCACAGGCCACAGAAGCCUGCAGCUGCCUCCGGCCCCGCCUGCCCCCGCUCCCCCAGGCCUGCCCUGCCCUUUUUCUUCUCUCCCUGCUUCUCCCUCGCCCUCAGCCCAGCAGCGUCUCCUGGCCAGUCCAGGCUUUCGGGGCCGGAUUGGGCAGCAGCCCCUGCAGCCGGUCCCACUGAGUCUGCCCUGCCUUCCAGAUUCUGGUACAGGUCAAAGAGGUCCUCUCCAAGCUGAGCACGCUCGUGGAAACCACACUCAAAGAGGUGCGCGUUGUGGGGCAGUGCAGGGAGGGCCAGCGGGGGUGGGCUCUCUGGCUGGGGAGGGGCCACAGAGCUCAGGAACUCACGGAUCCACCUCCCUCUCUCCCUCACACCCCUACCCCUGUGCCUUUCCUCCUGAAUAUCCCAUUUCGCUCCUGGCCUCUUGGUCCCUGUUCCACCCUCUUGGUUUGUGUUCCCUGCUUGUGUCUCUUGCAUGAUUCUUCUCGGUCUACUGUGAACUCUUACCCUUCCCCUCACCUCUGCCCCCUCCCCACGUCUCUCUCUGGGCCCCUCCCUCUCCGGUGGCCUCUUUUCUUUCAGACAGAGAAGAUUACAGUAUGCGGGGACACCCAUGGCCAGUUCUAUGACCUCCUCAACAUAUUCGAGCUCAACGGUUUACCCUCGGAGACCAACCCCUAUAUAUUUAAUGGUGACUUUGUGGACCGAGGCUCCUUCUCUGUAGAAGUGAUCCUCACCCUUUUCGGCUUCAAGCUUCUGUACCCAGAUCACUUUCACCUACUUCGAGGCAACCACGAGACAGACAACAUGAACCAGAUCUACGGUUUCGAGGGUGAGGUGAAGGCCAAGUACACAGCCCAGAUGUACGAGCUCUUUAGCGAGGUGUUCGAGUGGCUCCCGUUGGCCCAGUGCAUCAACGGCAAAGUGCUGAUCAUGCACGGAGGCCUGUUCAGUGAAGACGGCGUCACCCUGGAUGACAUCCGGAAAAUUGAGCGGAAUCGACAACCCCCAGAUUCAGGUCCCAUGUGUGACCUGCUCUGGUCAGAUCCACAGCCGCAGAACGGGCGCUCGGUCAGCAAGCGGGGCGUGAGCUGUCAGUUUGGGCCUGACGUCACCAAGGCCUUCUUGGAAGAGAACAACCUGGACUAUAUCAUCCGCAGCCACGAGGUCAAGGCCGAGGGCUACGAGGUGGCUCACGGAGGCCGCUGUGUCACCGUCUUCUCUGCCCCCAACUACUGCGACCAGAUGGGGAACAAAGCCUCCUAUAUCCAUCUCCAGGGCUCUGACCUACGGCCUCAGUUCCACCAGUUCACAGCAGUGCCUCAUCCCAACGUCAAGCCCAUGGCCUACGCCAACACGCUGCUGCAGCUGGGAAUGAUGUGAGGAGGCGGGCGGGGCGGCCUGCACCCCAGGGACCCUCCACUCCCACCGGACCUGGGCCCUGGGCCCGGGGCAGAGCAGGCCCCGCCCCAGGGCAACGUUGGACCCCCUUUUACUUUGUAAAGUUUGUAUUUAUUCCCCUUUAGGUUUGCAGAGGGGGUAGGGGCAGAGUCAGGGGCUGGCCAGAGGGUCUGCUCCCUGGACAGAGAGGAAGGAGGUGGAGCAGCUGGGGCUGGGGGCACAGCCCUGGCAUUCUGUAGGGAGGCCAUCCUCGGGGUGGGGUGGGGCUGAGUGGCUGCCCUGCCCCCCUCGUUUGCAUGGCUCCUCCCCCACUCAAGCAAUAGGGCCCUGCCAUAGAAAGACCCCCAGAGAGAGGGUCAGCAGGGGGGCCCCGCCUGCGCCU